rnacentral:lncRNA from 1 species
AGCUGAGGUUAGUGAGGCAGUGGGGGGUUAGCAAGUUGAAGGCAGAUAAUAUGGGGCUCUGUGGGCCAUCAUGAGGACUUCAGCUUUUACCUCGGCAUGAGAUGGGAAACCACUGGAGAAUCUAGAGGAGAAAGGGAUGAUCUGCCCUUCAACAGGAUCAUCCAGGCUACUCCGGUGAAUAUAGACCAUAUGAGGGCAAAGAUUGGAAGCUAGGUGAGCAGUUAGAAGGCUACUGCAAUAGCUAUGUGAGAGAGAUGAACUAGGAGAGUAGCAGUGGAGAUCUGAGAUACGGCAAAGUCUAGAUAUAACACAAAGGAAUAGCCGACAGAAUUUGCUUUUGGAUUGGCUGUAUUGUAGGAGAGAAAAAAUAGGGUGCAUUUUUGGGUUGAGCAAAGAGAAGAAUGAAGAUUCCUUGUACUGAGAUGGGGAAAACUGCAGGAGGAGUGGGUCUGAAAGAGAUGAGGCAUAUCUGAGGCACAGAGAGGUUAAGUUGGGGACUGAAGUGUGGCUCCAGAAUCUAAGUUUCUAACUGCCAUGCUAUGGAGGCAGGAAAAGCCCCUUGGGUGAUUACACAGUGGUUCUCAAAGUAUGGACCUCCAACCAGCAGCAUCAGCAGCAUCUGGAUACUUGCUAGAAAUGGAAAUUCUCUGGCCCUAUUCCAGGCCUUCCAAGUUGGAAACUUUGUGAUGGGGCCCAGCACUCUGUGUUUUAACAAGCCCUCUAGCCUUAAGGAAAACAACUCUGAGGACUUUUGUCACGGACUUGAAAUUCUCAUCUGUGCUUGGACAAGACUCUGAAACAUACCAACUGUGUAUUUUCCUGCCUUUGGUAAAUCUGGAGCUAUUAACUGAUUCUAAAGAACAUUUGACUUAAAAAGACUAUGGAAAGCCCAAAGAAUAAAGACUUCAGGCGUAAGAAUUUCAAUUCCCACACCUACGUUUUCCCCAAGCAAGAUUAGCAAGAUUAUUCCACAUACAGAGAAAUUCAUUACUAAGUCAGCUGCCCAACUUCUUUUUAAGAACACCAUGAAUAUAGUAAGUUUCGGUACAUUUUGGGGUAGUUCCUUCAAUCGAGGCAGCAGGCAGAAGACAUAACACUGCUGAGACAAGCUCAGUAUGAUUCUGUGGUCUAACCAAGUCAUAAAGCAAAGGACACAUUUUAAUUAAUCUACCUUCCAGCUGAUAAAAUCUUCUAAUGAGCCAUGUGCCAUCUCAGAAAAUUAUAGCAUGUAUGGUCCAAAAUUUGAUCAGGAACACAAACAGACCACUCAACAUAUAUUAAACAGAAAAGGACUCAAUACAGGUAACUAGAUGCUUUCAAAACCAUUGGCAGGGUUAGAGGCAUGAAACAGAAUGUGACCACUUACUCUCAAGUGUUCUAGUUUCCAGAAAGUCUCUGGAAUCAUAAGAAACUAUUGGUUAUGUUCCGAGCUGCCUCCACAACUGAGCUAGGUGAUUCUCGAAAAACCACCCAGAAACCGAUGCAAAAUAUCCCAUUUGCUGAAGCCCACAAGUUUGUGACUGUCUUUUCUAAUGGAGAAACAACAAUACAGUUUCUGUUUCUUUUGCCUCUCAAACUUCAUGCAAGCGCCUCUGGCUGGCACAUUCUAACCUGGAACCCUGAUGAUAAGAAUUUUGAAAAAAAUGCUGCUUCCAGGCUUCUAGUGUCUAGAAAUAGAGAGAGCAUUGGGAAAGGUGGG